rnacentral:rRNA from 1 species
AGAGUUUGAUCCUGGCUCAGGAUGAACGCUAGCGGCAGGCCUUAUACAUGCAAGUCGAGGGGCAGCAUAGAUUGCUUGCAAUCUGAUGGCGACCGGCGAACGGGUGCGUAACGCGUAUGCAACUUACCUUUUACUAGGAGAUAGCCAAGAGAAAUUUUGAUUAAUAUCCUAUACAAUUAUUUUAUCGCAUGAUAAAAUAAUAAAAGCUCAGGCGGUAAAAGAUAGGCAUGCGUCCUAUUAGCAAGUAGGUGAGGUAACGGCUCACCUAUGCUACGAUAGGUAGGGGUCCUGAGAGGGAGAUCCCCCACACUGGUACUGAGACACGGACCAGACUUCUACGGAAGGCAGCAGUAAGGAAUAUUGGACAAUGGAGGCAACUCUGAUCCAGCUAUGCCGCGUGCAGGAAGACGGCCCUAUGGGUUGUAAACUGCUUUUAUACAGGAAGAAACCUGCUCACUUGUGAGCAGCUGACGGUACUGUAAGAAUAAGGAUCGGCUAACUCCGUGCCAGCAGCCGCGGUAAUACGGAGGAUCCAAGCGUUAUCCGGAAUUAUUGGGUUUAAAGGGUCCGCAGGCUGUUUGUUAAGUCAGAGGUGAAAUCCUACCGCUCAACGGUAGAACUGCCUUAGAUACUGACAAACUUGAGUUAUUGUGAAGUAAUUAGAAUGUGUAGUGUAGCGGUGAAAUGCAUAGAUAUUACACAGAAUACCGAUUGCGAAAGCAGAUUACUAACAAUAUACUGACGCUGAGGGACGAAAGCGUAGGUAGCGAACAGGAUUAGAUACCCUGGUAGUCUACGCCGUAAACGAUGGUCACUAGCUGUUCGAUAUACAUUGGUAUGUUGAGUGGCUAAGCGAAAGUGAUAAGUGACCCACCUGGGGAGUACGUUCGCAAGAAUGAAACUCAAAGGAAUUGACGGGGGUUUGUUUCCUUGUCGGGUGUUUGUUUCCUUGCCGGGUGUUUGUUUCCUUGUCGGGUGUUUGUUUCCUUGUCGGGUGCUUGCUUCCUUGUCGGGUGCUUGCUUCUUUGUCGGGGAGUAGGGGGAGUACUGGUUAUAAUUGCGGAACUUUUGCAUGGAACAUCCUUUUUACAGGAGAAACAUAUUUUGCCAAAUCUCAUUACGGAUU